GGCAUGGUUUUUUCGGCUUCGUUGUCCUGAACAGGGUAUACAAUUAAAUUCGCCUCUGUCCCAAGCAGCGUCAGAGCCUGUCCUUAACAGGGUAUGGUAUUACGAGCCGAGAGACGUUCACCGGCCAUUACAAGGUCAUCAAUCAACGUCAGAUCAUUUUCUGGACAAGAAUGCCAUUGUUAUCGGUAAAACAAAUAUUUUCUCUUAUCAGAUUAUAACAACUGCGCAUUAACAGAAUAGGUCGUACUGGUAGGUCUUGUUUCUUUGUGUUUCUUUGUCCUACACAGAGUAGGGCUUUUAAAGCAUUUUUAUCCUAAACAGGGUCAGGAUUUCAAACCGUCGGCAGUACCCCUAUAGCCAAACAUGGGUCAAGUACCCCUCCCCGGGGCGGUAAGAGUGAACAGAAUCUCUAUUUCAGACGAAAGUGGUAUGCAAAGUAUUGCAUAGUGACGAACAGACCUGUAUUUCUCAUGAAAGGGAACUAUCUUCCGGGAAUAAGUCUCCAGUGACAUCAGUGAAUGUUAGUCUUCACUUGGAGAUAUCGCGUGACUGUAGAAAUAAGGAAAUACAUUUCACCGGAAGAAAACAACAAUCGGGUCAGAUUAUGGCUUUUAAGGAUUUUCGCUGACGUCACACGGCAGCCGGUCCUCGCCACGUUUAUUUUAACGGUCUUAUAUAAUAGAGCAAGAAAGCCGGUUGUAAUGCACACGUGUUUUUAGGAGAGCAGCGUGCACCGGUCCUCGAGCUACAAAGAAGGGUGGCCUGAAAAGAGAUCAUUUUGAAUCUGUAGUACCUACGUGUUUUACCAUGACUGAAAAUACUACACUUGCGGAACAGGACAACUCCAGAUCGUUUAAGUGUCAGAGAAAGCUUUAUUUAUGCGCUUCAUUUCUCUGUAUUGCAACGAGUGCCGUUCUAUUGGUGUUCGUUUUUAUUUUGUUUGCGGAGAAUUGCCUUGGCUGUCGUACCUUCGUGGUGGGAAUUUUGAGCGCACUCGCCAUUUUGCUGUUCAUUGCUGGACUGCUGAUCCUAGCAACAACAGUUUGCGGCAAAAGAAGACAUAACGACGUGACUCGUCAAGUUGUCAUCUCUUUCAUUCCCGCUGAGGAUCUGGAAAAAUCUCCUGUGUCUUUCCUGUCUUAUAAUCAAUUUCCUCACGGCAAGCCGUUUGAUGAUACUUCCUCGAUCGAUUUGCCAGAUUAUUUUACUGUGCUUCAAAAUGUUCAUGAAUUUUAUACCACUGCGGACGACGACGUUUGGGCAGAGGAUGUUCUCGAAACUCCACCACCGUGUUACGAAAAAGCCAUUGAAAUGAAAUCAUUUGAUAAAGCAAGUAACUAGAGGUGGAUACAGAUGCUACCAGACAGGGAUAUACCGAAGAUACUGCCACAGAGGGAAAUACCAAAGAUGCUAGACUGUAAAACUCAUAUUUUAAUUGGGUCACGUUUUGUUUAAUCGAAGCCGGGAGACACGCCUGUCUGGUCAGCUCGUUAGUUUCCGGUCUCGAGAACUUAGCGCGCGCCAUUGUCGUUCCUCGCGAGAUUCUCGUUCCUUGCCACUCGUCAAUCCACGACAGAAAAGAGACAGGUAGUUUACAAGAUUCGGUUUUGUGGAAAAUAACAGAACGGAGAUCAGAUUUUGAAACUAAAUUCAUCAAUCAGAAAACAAAGUAACAUCUUUUUUUCCUCGUUUCGCGUGCGCGCGUGAGUCAGCGGGUCUGCACUCAGCUCAACCGAGGUGGACAAAGCAAUGCAUUUCCCAGCAUUGCAGCAAGUUCGAUAAUCCUAGAGUUGGAUUUUAUUUCAUUUAAUUAAGGUUUCGUUUGUUUGCCGUUUAUAUUUAGCGUAGGCAAGACGUUUUUCCGUCAUCGUACUCGUCACGCUAAAAGGAUGAGUCUCUUGAACGGAAAAGCGAAGAUGAAGAAACUUUCUAGACUGUGCUUUAGUUAAGCAGAAAAUGCUUUUACAAAAUGCAGUCAAGGAUAAACAUCAGUAAUAUACCGUUUCAAAGUUGUGUCUCCAUAAGUUGCUAUAAAUGCUUUUAACGUUUCAACAGGAUCAGUGUCAACACGACUUGGAAUGUGUAUAUUACUGACGUCAUGUUGGCUUAGACUUGGGUCAUUGGUUAUCAAAUAUUUAUUGUCCCAUCACAGGUAGUCCAAGGUCAGUAUGUGAGCGUGCGUGAUUAUAAUCACUUCAAGAAACUGCGACACAAGCCUGGUUCUCUCUAUGACAUAAGUUUUUGAUCUUCUUGUGCUUGUGCUUAUGUUUAUGUUUAUGUCAAGUGAGAACGCACUGCUAUAAGCGUAAGCAUAAGGAUAAGCGUAAGUCAGCCAUCUUGUUUUACUGUAUCGAGGAGGUAUGCCUUUUUUGUGGGCGUCCUCGCAACAGUUAUGCUUAUGCUUGUGCGCACGUCGCAGUAAAAACCCGACCAUACAGUUUAAGAGUUCAAUACGGAGCGUAGUUAAAUGACCUUCGUCGUAAGAAAUCAUAUGGAAAACGCUGCUGUCGCUUAAAAGUGUGCGAAAUUGGUAAUAAAAUUUUCCUUUAAACUAACCUGUACUAGUUAUAUUCUUGUCGUUUCUUACAAUUAAUUUUACAGCGUUGAAGGCAUCUUAGCGGCAGAUUAAGGCUUUUUGUGAGCGGGGUGGUUUUCCAUACGAUCUCUUAUGACUAUAGUUAUCGAUUACGCUCAGUAGAAUAUCAGAAAAACGUCGUGUAAAGACAUUUUAAAAUACGUUCAUCAGAAUGUAAAUUGAACAGGAACUUUAGGCAUCAACCGUUUUCUCAUUAAAACGGGAAGUUGAAGCCCAGUUCAAAUUUUGUCAAACUGGCCAAAUGUUUGCGCACUUCCGGCUUCCCCCUUUCUAUAAAUGAAAACAAAAGAAACAAGAUAUUUCUUGUUUCCUCAGGAUUGCAGUUCCAUAUAUGAUUUUAACGCAUCUCAAAGAUGACCUAUAGGCAAGCAUCAGUUACCAACUUACUUCCUGUCAAAAAAAACUGUGGCCGAAGGUAUUAUUAUGAUUAUUACAAUUAUCAGCCCUGUCAGAGACCAUCAUUUUUUACACCACUCUUCUCCACAAAACGACUCUGACAUUUCACCGUUACUGGAUUGGUACUGAGAUAUCGGCUUCAAUGAGGGAGAAAUGAAACCAGACAAACACAAUUUACGUGAUACAUUUCUUUAGGACGAUCUGGACUAGGCUGCAUGAUCCAUGAUGGCGCGUAAGAGGAACCGAUCAGUCCUUGCCCAGAGUGGAUUCAUCGGUUCCUUUGUUGCACCAUGAUCCAAGUGAUCGAUCAACCUCCUUCCCAGGGUCCUCUGAGGGGGAGAGAGGAACCUGGGAACGAGGAUGAGAUGCACACUCUUAGCGUGCCUGACCAUGGUUACGUCACCCAUUCUGUAAACAAGCCUUAGCCACAAAGGAACACGAAAUAUAUCUCUGAACUGUGGCCUAAAACAUCGUCAGCUUGAAUCGGUACUCACGGAGCUAAAACUAUCACGACUUUGUUAGAAAAUACCUAGGCAUAACAAGGCGAUAUUCUUCAGCUUCGUCAGCUGCCGUUACGUUUAUGGGAUUCUUUCCAUAGAACUUUUUGUUGCUGAACUUCGGUUAUUAUCAACAAUAGCCUUGCUGCAAACGAACUGAGAAAAAACAACGUAACUUCUCAGGUCGUCGUCUCUUUGAUUCCCACGAAAGUUUCGGAAAAUCAACCAUUCUUCUACUUCCUUAUAACCAUGUUCCUCCUUGUCUGCCGUCUAUUGGAACUUCUUCGAUUAAUCUGCCUGAUUAUUGUGCUGUUAAUCAAAAUAUCCGUGAAGAGAACUUACCGGUGGACGCGCGAGUUUGGACAAGAGAUCUUCCUAAAACUCUGUUACCGUGUUACGAGCAAAAGUUUGAACUGAAUGACAGCGGUGACUGGUACUACGUACAAGAGAACUGGAUUUGUAUAGUUCCAAACAAGGAAACACAAAUAGCACGAGACUGUGAUUAAGUGUUAAACUAUAUAUCAGACAUCCAGGACAUCCUCAUCAAUUGUGUGUGAAAACGUGUAAAUAUUGCAGUGAUCGUUCGACGUCUCUUCACUUCUUGGGAAAAUAUUAGAAGAACUUACCUUACUCAGUCUGUUUGGUGCUCCGAAACAAGCGAAUUUUAAUGUAUUCAGAACUGUACUGCUGGAGUAUGACGUCAUAGAAAUAUGUGUUAUGUUUUUAAACUAUAUGCUUCGUUAGCUUGAGCUAUGAAUAAUACUUUGAAAUGAAAAGAAAUUUAGGUGUUUAGUUGUCAAUUAUGCUGUAGCGAAAGCAUAACUAAGGAAUAUUAUUACUUGUGUUAUAGUGCUGUUUAGAAAUGUUUUCUUCUAAUCCUUUCCAAACUUAACUGUUAUACAGGCGAUAUUCCUAAUGCCACUUUCGCUGAAAAACGUCCGUCACUUGUUCCAGAAAUAACUUGGCUAACAGAAGUGUAUUACUACUCGCGCACUUGAAUAAGACGCAGUAUUUGAAUUAGUUAGAGAAUCAAGAAGAAUAUGCAAAACCUUGAAUUUUUAAAUGAAAAACCCGUAGAUGCCCUUCCAAACAGAUACCCAGAAGAACUUUUCAGUGCUCCGAAUUUGAAUUAAUUAACAUACCGAAGUUACAAACAACUGAAAUUAAACGGCAAAAUAACGUUCUCGGCUCUAUUUCUUCAUUUGAACUUUGCCAAUGAUAAUUCGUUACCAUGCAGCUAGAUAUCAAACAGGCCACGCCAUCUGUACUACGCCGUUAAAUAGACAUUCUAAUGAGGCAAGACUAGAAUGUAUAUUAAAAAGAAAUAUGGCUUGAUGAA